AUUGAACGCUGGCGGCAUGCCUUACACAUGCAAGUCGAACGGUAACAGGUCUUCGGAUGCUGACGAGUGGCGAACGGGUGAGUAAUAUAUCGGAACGUGCCCAGUAGUGGGGGAUAGCCCGGCGAAAGCCGGAUUAAUACCGCAUACGACCUGAGGGUGAAAGGGGGGGAUUCGCAAGAACCUCUCGCUAUUGGAGCGGCCGAGAUCAGAUUAGGUAGUUGGUGGGGUAAAGGCCUACCAAGCCUGCGAUCUGUAGUUGGUCUGAGAGGACGACCAGACAAACUGGGACUGAGACACGGCACAGACUCCUACGGGAGGCAGCAGUGGGGAAUUUUGGACAAUGGGCGCAAGCCUGAUCCAGCAAUGCCGCGUGCAGGAAGAAGGCCUUCGGGUUGUAAACUGCUUUUGUCCGGGAAGAAAUCCUCUGGGUUAAUACCUCGGGGGGAUGACGGUACCUGAAGAAUAAGCACCGGCUAACUACGUGCCAGCAGCCGCAGUAACAC
rnacentral:rRNA from 1 species